rnacentral:lncRNA from 1 species
UGUGAGCGCCUCAGCCUACUGAUUCUGGCUUCCUGAUGGUGGCGCAUCCUGAGAGGCAGUGGUGAUGGCUCAGGUAGCCAGGUUCCUGCCACCCACGGGGAGCCCUGGGUUGAGUUCCCAACUCCUGCAACAUAGCAGGUAUUGUGGGCAUUUGGGGAGGGAACCAGUGGAUUGGAUCUCUCUCUUGCUUUCAAUUAAAUAAAAAUAAAUAAAACAUUUUUAAAAUGUAAUUAAAUAUAUAUGCAUAUAUACAUACAUACACACAGGGGUAUUUCAAAAGGUUAGUGAAAAUAGGAUUAAAAAUUUCAGCUUAUUUUCAUGCAAAAAUAUUGACAUUUAUUGUGUUUUUUGUAACCUUCAUGUCCAUGAACUUCUUGAAGACCCUUGCAUACACAGUCCCUCCUUAAACAAUGCUGAAAAUUUCAAGGAGGUCAUAGCAUAGCAUUACACAAGCAUGGGGGGCCUUCAGAACGCAGGUCCCUGACGCCAGCCCUGCCAGAAGGCUCCUAUGUUGUCUCUGGAUGCCUGAUUUCCUCAUCUGUAGACCAGGAGAGAAAGCUAACACUUUAAAGUACAACGAGUAUUAAAUGAAUUAUUUGUGGAAUCUGUGGGACAUGUAGCAGGUUCUCAGGAGAGGGACCACCCUCUGAUGUGGGAGCCAGCAGUGAGUUCUCAGGAGUCAGCCAGAAGUGGACAAAGCCUGGCUUUGCUGCUUUCUUGGGUCAAUCGCCUACUGACACUAAACCUUGUCUUCCUCUAGAGAGGAGGUAAUACUCGGACCCACACCUGGGAGAUUACUUGGAGGAUUAACACAAAGUGCGCGACAGCCUUCUGUGUGAUCCUGGUACAGAAGGUUCCCUGGGUGCUAUUGUGACCAUGUACCAGACACAGUGGGACCCACGCUUCCUCUACCGGCUCCUUUAUCCUUACCACAUGGAGACUCGACACCCUUACCUUCAGGGCUCUGAGGCUGGGGAAGGGGCCUGCGCAAGAACCAAGACUCCACAGACCCCCAGUCUGGAUUCUGAGUCAUUUUCGUGUCACAUUUCCUAAGGAUGCGCUCAGCUUAUCUUGGAGGUGGUGAUUUUUCAAAUUAGCUCAUUUUAACUCUUAAUGAGAGGCAGUGGGCACUAGGAUCCACC